AGUGAUCGCUGGCGGCGUGCUUAACACAUGCAAGUCGAGCGAGACCUGGCAGUGUAUCGUCAGGUCUAGCGGCAGACGGGUGAGUAAUACUUGGGCAAUCUGCCCUUGAGUGGGAAACAACCUUCCGAAAGGAGGGCUAAUGUCCCAUAAGACCACGGGAUGGCAUCAUCCAGAGGUCAAAGCUCCGUAAGGGGCCCUUGAGGAGGAGCCUGAGUCCUANCAUGGUAGUUGGUGAGGUAAUGGCUCACCAAGCCUUUGACGGGUAGCCGGCCUGAAAGGGUGAUCGGCCACACUGGCACUGAGACACGGGCCAGACUCCUACGGGAGGCAGCAGUGGGGAAUUUUGGACAAUGGGGCAACCCUGAUCCAGCGACGCCGCGUGAAGGAUGAAGGUCUUCGGAUUGUAAACUUCUUUU
rnacentral:rRNA from 1 species